rnacentral:rRNA from 1 species
AGAGUUUGAUCCUGGCUCAGGACGAACGCUGGCGGUGCGCCUUAUGCAUGCAAGUCGAGCGAAGCUUUUCAGUAGUUUACUACAGAAAAUGACUGAGCGGCGAACGGGUGAGUAACGCGUGAGCAAUCUACCUUAGUUACAGGGAUAGCCCGAGGAAACUCGGAUUAAUACCUGAUAUUCUUUAUUUCUCGCAUGAGAAUAAAAGGAAAGGUCAGCCGAACUAAGAUGAGCUCGCGUUCUAUCAGCUAGUUGGUGAGGUAAAAGCUUACCAAGGCUACGACGGAUAGCUGGUCUGAGAGGACGAUCAGCCACACUGGGACUGAGACACGGCCCAGACUCCUACGGGAGGCUGCAGCAGGGAAUAUUGUGCAAUGAACGAAAGUUUGACACAGCGACACCGCGUGUGGGAUGACGGAUCUAGGUUUGUAAACCACUUUCAGGAGGGAAGAAAAUGACGGUACCUCCACAAGAAGCCCCGGCCAACUACGUGCCAGCAGCCGCGGUAAUACGUAGGGGGCGAGCGUUGUCCGGAUUUAUUGGGCGUAAAGAGCUCGUAGGCGGUUCAACAAGUCGGUCGUGAAAGUUCAGGGCUCAACCCUGAAAUGUCGAUCGAUACUGUUGUGACUAGGAUACGGUAGAGGUGAGUGGAAUUCCGAGUGUAGCGGUGAAAUGCGUAGAUAUUCGGAGGAACACCAAUUGCGAAGGCAGCUCACUGGACCGCUAUCGACGCU